GUCGCCGACSAGUGGCGGACGGGUGAGUAACACGUAGGUAACCUGCCCAGAAGCGGGGGACAACAUUUGGAAACAGAUGCUAAUACCGCAUAACAACGUUGUUCGCAUGAACAACGCUAAAAAGAUGGCUUCUCGCUAUCACUUCUGGAUGGACCUGCGGUGCAUUAGCUUGUUGGUGGGGUAAYGGCCUACCAAGGCGAUGAUGCAUAGCCGAGUUGAGAGACUGAUCGGCCACAAUGGGACUGAGACACGGCCCAUACUCCUACGGGAGGCAGCAGUAGGGAAUCUUCCACAAUGGGCGCAAGCCUGAUGGAGCAACACCGCGUGAGUGAAGAAGGGUUUCGGCUCGUAAAGCUCUGUUGUUAAAGAAGAACACGUAUGAGAGUAACUGUUCAUACGUUGACGGUAUUUAACCAGAAAGUCACGGCUAACUACGUGCCAGCAGCCGCGGUAAUACGUAGGUGGCAAGCGUUAUCCGGAUUUAUUGGGCGUAAAGAGAGUGCAGGCGGUUUUCUAAGUCUGAUGUGAAAGCCUUCGGCUUAACCGGAGAAGUGCAUCGGAAACUGGAUAACUUGAGUGCAGAAGAGGGUAGUGGAACUCCAUGUGUAGCGGUGGAAUGCGUAGAUAUAUGGAAGAACACCAGUGGCGAAGGCGGCUACCUGGUCUGCAACUGACGCUGAGACUCGAAAGCAUGGGUAGCGAACAGGAUUAGAUACCCUGGUAGUCCAUGCCGUAAACGAUGAGUGCUAGGUGUUGGAGGGUUUCCGCCCUUCAGUGCCGGAGCUAACGCAUUAAGCACUCCGCCUGGGGAGUACGACCGCAAGGUUGAAACUCAAAGGAAUUGACGGGGGCCCGCACAAGCGGUGGAGCAUGUGGUUUAAUUCGAAGCUACGCGAAGAACCUUACCAGGUCUUGACAUCUUGCGCCAACCCUAGAGAUAGGGCGUUUCCUUCGGGAACGCAAUGACAGGUGGUGCAUGGUCGUCGUCAGCUCGUGUCGU
rnacentral:rRNA from 1 species